rnacentral:rRNA from 1 species
GACGCCCGGGCUUCGGCCUGGUUAUUCAUAACCCUUUGUUGUCCGACUCUGUUGCCUCCGGGGCGACCCUGCCUUCGGGCGGGGGCUCCGGGUGGACACUUCAAACUCUUGCGUAACUUUGCAGUCUGAGUAAACUUAAUUAAUAAAUUAAAACUUUUAACAACGGAUCUCUUGGUUCUGGCAUCGAUGAAGAACGCAGCGAAAUGCGAUAAGUAAUGUGAAUUGCAGAAUUCAGUGAAUCAUCGAAUCUUUGAACGCACAUUGCGCCCCCUGGUAUUCCGGGGGGCAUGCCUGUUCGAGCGUCAUUUCACCACUCAAGCCUCGCUUGGUAUUGGGCAACGCGGUCCGCCGCGUGCCUCAAAUCGUCCGGCUGGGUCUUCUGUCCCCUAAGCGUUGUGGAAACUAUUCGCUAAAGGGUGUUCGGGAGGCUACGCCGUAAAACAACCCCAUUUCUAAGGUUGACCUCGGAUCAGGUAGGGAUACCCGCUGAACUUAAGCAUAU